GCCGCCCUAGCUCAAUGGCAGAGCAGUCGCUUCGUAAGUGAAAGGUUGUCGGUUCAAGUCCGACGGGCGGCU
rnacentral:tRNA from 1 species